rnacentral:rRNA from 1 species
ACGUAGGUGGCAAGCGUUGUCCGGAAUUACUGGGCGUAAAGGGCGCGCAGGCGGCAGACCAAGUCAGAUGUGAAAUAGCUCGGCUUAACCGGGCGGGGUCAUUUGAAACUGGUCAGCUAGAGUACAGCAGAGGUUAGUGGAAUUCCCGGUGUAGUGGUGAAAUGCGUAGAGAUCGGGAGGAACACCAGAGGCGAAGGCGACUAACUGGGCUGUAACUGACGCUGAGGCGCGAAGGCUAGGGGAGCAAACAGGA